CCUACGGGAGGCAGCAGUGGGGAAUAUUGCACAAUGGGGGAAACCCUGAUGCAGCGACGCCGCGUGAGUGAAGAAGUAUUUCGGUAUGUAAAGCUCUAUCAGCAGGGAAGAAAAUGACGGUACCUGACUAAGAAGCCCCGGCUAACUACGUGCCAGCAGCCGCGGUAAUACGUAGGGGGCAAGCGUUAUCCGGAUUUACUGGGUGUAAAGGGAGCGUAGGUGGCAUGGUAAGCCAGAAGUGAAAACCCAGGGCUCAACUCUGUGGAUUGCUUUUGGAACUAUCAAGCUAGAGUGCUGGAGGGGUAAGCGGAAUUCCUAGUGUAGCGGUGAAAUGCGUAGAUAUAUGGAAGAACACCAGUGGCGAAAGCGGCUCUCUGGUCUGUAACUGACGCUGAGGUUCGAAAGCGUGGGUAGCAAACAGGAUUAGAUACCCUAGUAGUC
rnacentral:rRNA from 1 species